rnacentral:lncRNA from 1 species
GAGAGUGGAUAUGUUCCAAAUUCUAUCACCUACAACAUGAUGAUGAAAUGCUAUAGUAAUGCAGGGAAAAUUGAUGAAGCUAUUAAAUUACUCUCUGAGAUGAUAGAAAGUGGCUGUGAUCCUGAUGUGAUUAUAGUCAAUUCAUUGAUUGACAUACUAUAUAAGGACGGUCGGGCUACUGAGGCGUGGGCAAUGUUUUACAGAAUGAAGGAGAUGAAACUGGCUCCUAGCGUUGUGACCUACAACACUCUACUGGCCGGAUUAGGAAAAGAGGGAAAAAUUCGAGAGGCCAAUGAAUUAUUUGAUAGCAUGACUGUAGUCAAUUCAUUGAUUGACAUACUUUAUAAGGACGGUCGGGCUAGUGAGGCUUGGGCAAUAUUUUACAGAAUGAAGGAUAUGAAACUGGCUCCUAGCGUUGUGACCUACAACACUCUACUGGCUGGAUUAGGA